CGGGGACAAAGAGACAGUCGGUGCAUGCCUGUCGUCAGCUCGUGUCGUGAGAUGUCUGGUUAAGUCCCCCAACGACGGCAACCCCCGUUAAUAGUAGCCAGCAUUAAGUUGGGCACUCUAUUGAGACUGCGGGUGGCAACCCGGAGGAAGGUGGGGAUGACGUCAUGUCAUCAUGCCCCUUAUGACCUGGGCUACACACGUGUGACAAUGGGCACUACACCGAGAGGCGAACCUGUGAAGGCAAGCGGAUCUCUUAAAGCUGUUCUCAGUUUGGACUGUAGGCUGCAACUCGCCUACCCGAAGCUGGAAUCGCUAGUAAUCGCGGAUCAGCACGCCGCGGUGAAUACGUUCCCGGGCCUUGUACACACCGCCCGUCACCCCAUGAGAGUUUGUAACCCCCAAAGUCGGUGAGGUAACCUUUGGACCCAGCCGCCUAAGGUGGGACAGAUGAUUAGGGU
rnacentral:rRNA from 1 species